GGAGGGGGAUAACUACUGGAAACGGUGGCUAAUACCGCAUAACGUCGCAAGACCAAAGAGGGGGACCUUCGGGCCUCUUGCCAUCAGAUGUGCCCAGAUGGGAUUAGCUAGUUGGUGAGGUAACGGCUCACCAAGGCGACGAUCCCUAGCUGGUCUGAGAGGAUGACCAGCCACACUGGAACUGAGACACGGUCCAGACUCCUACGGGAGGCAGCAGUGGGGAAUAUUGCACAAUGGGCGCAAGCCUGAUGCAGCCAUGCCGCGUGUAUGAAGAAGGCCUUCGGGUUGUAAAGUACUUUCAGCGGGGAGGAAGGUGUUGUGGUUAAUAACCGCAGCAAUUGACGUUACCCGCAGAAGAAGCACCGGCUAACUCCGUGCCAGCAGCCGCGGUAAUACGGAGGGUGCAAGCGUUAAUCGGAAUUACUGGGCGUAAAGCGCACGCAGGCGGUCUGUCAAGUCGGAUGUGAAAUCCCCGGGCUCAACCUGGGAACUGCAUUCGAAACUGGCAGGCUUGAGUCUUGUAGAGGGGGGUAGAAUUCCAGGUGUAGCGGUGAAAUGCGUAGAGAUCUGGAGGAAUACCGGUGGCGAAGGCGGCCCCCUGGACAAAGACUGACGCUCAGGUGCGAAAGCGUGGGGAGCAAACAGGAUUAGAUACCCUGGUAGUCCACGCCGUAAACGAUGUCUACUUGGAGGUUGUGCCCUUGAGGCGUGGCUUCCGGAGCUAACGCGUUAAGUAGACCGCCUGGGGAGUACGGCCGCAAGGUUAAAACUCAAAUGAAUUGACGGGGGCCCGCACAAGCGGUGGAGCAUGUGGUUUAAUUCGAUGCAACGCGAAGAACCUUACCUGGUCUUGACAUCCACAGAAGAAUCCAGAGAUGGAUUUGUGCCUUCGGGAACUGUGAGACAGGUGCUGCAUGGCUGUCGUCAGCUCGUGUUGUGAAAUGUUGGGUUAAGUCCCGCAACGAGCGCAACCCUUAUCCUUUGUUGCCAGCGGUCCGGCCGGGAACUCAAAGGAGACUGCCAGUGAUAAACUGGAGGAAGGUGGGGAUGACGUCAAGUCAUCAUGGCCCUUACGACCAGGGCUACACACGUGCUACAAUGGCGCAUACAAAGAGAAGCGACCUCGCGAGAGCAAGCGGACCUCAUAAAGUGCGUCGUAGUCCGGAUUGGAGUCUGCAACUCGACUCCAUGAAGUCGGAAUCGCUAGUAAUCGUGGAUCAGAAUGCCACGGUGAAUACGUUCCCGGGCCUUGUACACACCGCCCGUCACACCAUGGGAGUGGGUUGCAAAAGAAGUAGGUAGCUUAACCUUCGGGAGGGCGCUUACCACUUUGUGAUUCAUGACUGGGGUGAAGUCGUAACAAGGUAACCGUAGGGGAACCUGCGGUUGGAUCACCUCCUUA
rnacentral:rRNA from 1 species